rnacentral:rRNA from 1 species
AACGAACGCUGGCGGCAGGCUUAACACAUGCAAGUCGAACGCCCCGCAAGGGGAGUGGCAGACGGGUGAGUAACGCGUGGGAACAUACCCUUUUCUACGGAAUAGCUCUGGGAAACUGGAAUUAAUACCGUAUACGCCCUACGGGGGAAAGAUUUAUCGGGGAAGGAUUGGCCCGCGUUGGAUUAGCUAGUUGGUGGGGUAAAGGCCUACCAAGGCGACGAUCCAUAGCUGGUCUGAGAGGAUGAUCAGCCACAUUGGGACUGAGACACGGCCCAAACUCCUGCGGGAGGCAGCAGUGGGGAAUAUUGGACAAUGGGCGCAAGCCUGAUCCAGCCAUGCCGCGUGAGUGAUGAAGGCCUUAGGGUUGUAAAGCUCUUUCACCGAUGAAGAUAAUGACGGUAGUCGGAGAAGAAGCCCCGGCUAACUUCGU